CAAGACAAUUUAAACAAAGGAAAAAGUAUACCAUCCUCUGACCAUUUCUCUAACAAGUAAGCAUGUUCUUUCCAUUACGUGUUCCGUAUGGCAUAUUGAUCGUCCCAAUAUUGUAACUUUCCCAUUAUUACUAAUUUGACAUUGCUAAUCUAUUUUCUCUAACAACAUGUAUGAUACCCGACUUAUCUAAAUUUGCCUACUUACAUUUUAACUUCAACCUUUAAACAUAAGAGAACUGCUUAAUUUGUAUCUAAAAUCUUUUGAUUUUGUCAUCUUGAUAUAAAUAUGCAAUUUGUGUAAAUAGUGAAGUUGAUAUCUUAAUAGGAGCUUGGCCUAACUAUUUUUGAUAUGUUCCUUUUCAAUAAUUUACGGGAACGACAAACAGUAAUGUCCAGGCAUUCAAAAGGAGAUAUGUGCAAGGAAGGAGUUGAAGAGCUGAUGUUUCCAGGACAGAUUGCAAUUGCUAGAAUACUUCUUUUCAUUUGAAUUUCUUUUGUUUAUAACUUACUAGAUCACCCCUUCAACCAAAUCAUUCAUAACUUAAAUAAGUUGCUUCAUUGAAAAUUGUGGCUUUUAUGGUUGAAAUAAGUUCGAACAAUACUUUGUUUACCACAGGCUUACUAUGUUGGGCCCGUGCUAAGCACGGGCCAUGCCUUUCUAGCUUAUUUAGAAGUGGGAGUAGGGAAGGAUGAACAAGGGCAAAUAGGUAAUUCUAAUAUUAACUUUGGGAUAAUUCCUAAUGUAAAUAGUACAUUAUAAUGGGCCCAUCUGUCAUAGAUAUAUGACCUACUCUAUUAACACGUGUAUUGCUCUUUAUUUCUCAAGAAACACGUGUGCUACUAAUUGUGUUGUCUUUUUCAUUGGAACAUUUAACAAAAAACUUGUGUAAAGUGAGCUUAUUGUUCUUCUUCUGGGAAUGAUUUCUACCGUCCCUUCAGUUUUAAAUCCCUUUCCCACUGGUAUUAUACCUUUUCCUGCCAGUGUAGAACCUAGCAGAUAUCGAUUAAUCUAAUUUUAUGUUAUUUUUAUUUUGCCUUUAGGUCAAUUUUUCAUUGGAUUGGUUUGAAUUUUCUUUCAAUUUUGUUGAUUUCUUGGGUAUUUAGGGUUGUUAUACCGUUCCAUGCACUACAUUUUAGAGUUCAUUGUAAUUUGUAGCACUGGCCGUUUUUCUCCUUCUCCUCUCCGACUUGCCUAUUUACAAAUUUGUAUUUAAUAUAAUAAUUUCUCCUAUUCAGGUCUAUUACUUCAAGGAGAUAGGGGAGAAUUGCAAGCAUGAGAUGCCGGAAUGGAGCAGAAGCUUGAAAUUCAAACAAUCUAUCAAAUUUUUAUAUCGUUAUACAUCAGGUAUACCGACCUCAAUUUUUCCAAAUCAAACCAAGAAAAUAUAGGUUCUCCCCUUUUUUAUUUACCGACUAUGAAUUUCUGAUUUGAGUAGAGAUUGCAACACUAAAUUCCUUAUAGGGUGAGUUCACAAUUUUGCGGUCUACAUGAGUUACAUUCUGCUACCACAACAAUUAGUCUUCUAAUUUUUCUUCAACACCCAUACUUUUAUCUAACUCUGUUGGAGGCUAAUGGAGAUUAAACAAACAACAAACUACCUUAAGUUGAUGACAUGAUGGUUAACCUUAAAAUGCACAUGUCUCCUUUUCUGAAAAUUGGCAUGGACAAACACGAAUCAGUAGGCAAGUUGCUAAAUUAGUUUUUAGCAUUGAUGUUAUCAUAAACAAAGUCGCGUGAGAUCAUAUGAAUGAAUUGUUGGUGUUCUGUUGUAAUAGGAAAUUCUACUUUAAAGUUUACAGACUAGCUUUCUGUUACAUAUGAAUAACAAGGCUCAAUCGGACAUAGAAGACGGUCUCCAUGUUCUAAGCGUCUGAGAAAAAAAGAAGAAGAAAUGAAGAAGAAUAUGGAGAAAUGAUCUUGGCAAAAGGGUACUAACAGGAGAAGCUUUACAAAGAGUUUAAUGGUUCUUUGUCAAAAUCUUAGCUUGUGACAACAAUGCAGGGAGGAAUUUUGAAUGGAUGGAUUUUUCUUUGCAUCAACUAUAGAAUAUUUAUUUAGUUUUUGAGUUCCUCUUUAUUUAACUAGAACUACAGUGAUUACAAUAUUCAAUUUUUAUAUGUUAUGUAUUAUGUAAUGACAAUUAAAAUGUUUUUGAUACAGGUGUUCAAAAGUCA